CGUCGCGGGGCAGGCGGUCGCAGGGUGAUGACAUAAACCCUCCGCCCCGCCUUUUCCGAGAUUUGAGCGAGGGCGGAGGCGCUACCGUAUGUCUUCUAAGAGGGGGACGUCAAAGUGAGGCGCUAAGGGUGCAAGACCACAUUCCUGGAGUCCAAGGGGGCAUAUUCGGAGGUCUUAAAGUUUUGUAUGCUUGCGCGUUCUUGGUAGUAACUCUGUGCGUUUGAGACGAAUGUCUCUUAUUUAUUCAUUCAACAGAUAUUUAUUGAGUACCCACUAUUUGCCUGGCUAGGUAUGCCGUAGGUGAACAAAACAAAGCCCCUGCCCUCAUGGAGCUUACAUUCUAGUGUGUGUAGUGGGGUGGGGAGACGUCCAAUAAAGAGAGAUAUCCAAACAGUGAUUGGCGCUUCCCUGGUGGCGCAGCGGUUGAGAGUCCGCCUGCCGAUGCAAGGAACACGGCUUCAUGGCCCGGUCCAGGAAAAUCCCACAUGCCAUGGAGCGGCUAGGCCCGUGAGCCACGGCCGCUGAGCCUGCGCGUCCGGAGCCUGUGCUCUGCAACGGGAGAGGCUGCAACAGUGAGAAGCCCGCGUAACGCAAAAAAAAAAAAAAAAAAAAAAAAAAAUUAAUAAAUGCUAUGAAGAGAAAAAGAAAAGAUAAAGAAAUAAAGGGACUGAGAGUGGAUGGUGCUAUUUUAAACAGCCUGAUAGGAGAAAUCUUCUCUCAGAAGCUGUCAUUUUAAUAGAAAUCUGAAUUCAGGAGAGAGAGAGAGAGAAAGCAGGUAUUCCAGAUGUGACUACCUGGAAGAAAGGUGGUCCAGGCAGAAGGAAGAGCAAAUAGAAGGGCUCUGAAAGGGAAAUUUUCUUGGUGAGUUAUUACAGAUCAACAGGAGCAUGUAGGAUUCCACUGUAGAGUGGAAUCCAGUUCUGUCAGGCUUUUAUGCCUACCGAUCAAUCCAGUGAAAGCAGUCUUAUCAACGUUACCAGUGACCCACUUCGGCAAAUCCAUCAGUCAUUUCUCUCUCUUUAAAAAAAAACAACUUAUUUUUGGCUGCGCUGGGUCUUAGUUGCGGCAUGCUGGAUCUUUAGUUGCAGCAUGUGGGAUCUAGUUCCCUGACCAGGGAUCAAACCCUCUGCAUUGGGAGUGAGGAGUCUUAACAACUGGACCACCAGGGAAGUCCCCAUCAGUCAUUUUUCAGUCCUUAUAUGGCCUUCCCAGCGAGAUUUGAUAAGAGUUUUACUACAGGUGAAAGUUCGGGGGCUACUACUAUAAUCCUGGUGAGAAUUAAUAGUAAUUUGGAUAAAGGUGAUGGUGGAGGUGGCAAGAAGUAGUCAAAUUCUGGAUAUAUUUUGAAGACAAUCAAAAUGAUUUUGCCGAUGGAUUGGAUGUGGGAUGUGAGAGAAAGAAAGGAGUCAAGGAUGAUUCCAAGAUUUUGCCCUGAGUAAGUGGAAGAACAGUUUCCAUUUACCGAAGCUGGGGGAAGAUUGUGAGAGGAGCAGUUUGGUAGGAGGAAUAUUAAAUGUCUGAUUUAGGGUGUGUUAAGUUCGUGAUGCCUUUUGGAGUCAAGUGGAGAUGUAGAGUAGGAAUUUGUAUGUAAGUAGGGUGUAAGGAAGAGGAUGGGCCUGGAAAUAUAAUUUUGGAAAUUAUCACUAUAUAUAAAUGACAUUUAAAUCUUCGAGGCUAGGUGGACAAAGAAAUAUAAAUAGUAUUUAAAGCCGUGGGACUAAAUGCCCCAAGGAAGCAAGUGUAGGUAGGGAAGAGGAGAGGUCUGGUUACUGAGCCCUUUGCCAGUUUCAUAUUUAGAGGUCUGGAACAGGAGCAUCCAGGAAGGGGGAAUGAAGAAGCAGCUCGGCAAGAUUCCUCCUGCAAACUCCUUGAAGACCUUGCUCAGUGCCUGGCCCACAGUAGGUGAUCAGUAAAGAGUUGUAGAAUGAAUGGUGACUCUUACCCUGUCACUUGCUGGUAAAAAUUCCCAUUUUGGAGCCACAGAGAACAAUACACAGCUGCUUCCCUCCCCUCAGAUUAAGAAAAUGAACCCCGGGCUUUCCUGGUGGGUUCGAGCCCUGGCCCGGGAAGAUCCCACAUGCCACGGAGCAACUAAGCCAGUGAGCCACAACUACUGAAUCCCAUGUGCCACAACUACUGAAGCCCAUGCACCUAGAGCCCAUGCUCUGCAACAAGAGAAACCACCACAAUUAGAAGACUGUGCACAGCAAUGAAGAGUAGCCCCCACUCUCCGCAACUAGAGAAAGCCCGUGAGCAGCAGAAAACCCAAUGCAGCCGAAAAAAAAAAUUAAAAAAAGUAAAAAAAAACAAAAACAAAAAAACCCCAAAACAAACAAACAAAAAGAAAAUAAACCCCAUUUACCACCAAAAGCAAAGGUAACAAAAGCAAAAAUAAACAAGUGGAAUUAUAUCAAACUAAAAAGCUUCUGCACAGCAAAGGAAACCAUCAACAAAAUGAAAAGGCAAUCUACUAGACAGGAGAAGAUAUCUGCAAAUCAUAUACUGAUAAGGGGUUAAAAUGCAAAAUAUACAGAGAACUCAUGCAACUCAACAGCAAAAAACCAAACAACCUGAUUUAAAAAUGUGCAGAGGACCUGAACAGAUGCUUCCCAAAGAAGACAUACAAAUGGCCAAUAGACACGUGAAAAGAUGCUCAACAUCACUAAUCAUCAGGGAAAUGCAAAUCAAAGCCACAAUGAGAUACCACCUCACACCUGUCAGAAUGGCUGUUAACAACAACAACAACAAAUAACAAGUGUUGGCCAGGAUGUGGAGAAAAGGGAACCCUGUGUACUGUUGGAGAGAAUGUAAAGUGGUGCAGCCACUAUGGGAAACAGUAUGGAAGUUCCUCAAAAAAUUAAAAAUAAAACUACUAUAUGAUCCAAAUUCCACUUCUGGGUAUUUAUCUGAAAGAAACAAAAACACUAACUUGAAAAGAUAUAUGCACCCCUAUGUUCACUGCAGCAUUAUUUAUAAGAGCUAAGACACAGAAACAACCUAAGUGUCCAUGGACAGAUGAAUGGAUGAAGAAAAUGUGAUAUGUGUGUGUGUGUAUAUAUAUUGUGUGUACGAUGGAAUAUUAUUCAGCCAUAAAAAGAAGGAAACUUUGCCAUUUUUGACAACAUGGAUGGACCUUGAGGCCAUUAUGCUGACAUAAAUCAGAGAAAGACAAAUACUGUAUGAUCUCAGUUAUAUGUGGAAUCUAAAACGAACAAACAAAAAUAAUUGAGUUCAUAGAUAUAUAGAACAGAUUAGAGGUUGCUAGAGGUGGGGGAUGGAGGUGGAUGAAUUCUGGUGCAAGGCUUCAAAAGGUACAAACUUCCAGUUAUAAGUAAGUCACGGGGAUAUAAUGUACAGCAUGAAGACUAUAUUUAAAAACACUGUAUUGCAUAUUUGCAAGUUGCAAAGAGAGUAGAUCUUAAAAAUUCUCAUUAUAAGAAAAAAAAUUUGUAACAUGUAUGGUGACUAGACUUAUUAUGGUGAUCAUUUUGCAAUAUACACAAAUAUUGAAUCAUUAUGUUGUACACCUGAAACUAAUAUGUUAUAUGUCAAUUAUAUGUCAAUUAAAAAAUUAGGUCCCAGAGAUAAAAUGAUUUUUUAAAGGUAAUAGAAGUAGCUAUUGAUAGAGCCUCCUUCUAAAAGGCUGGAAAAUCAAACAUUUCCCAGGACUUCCCAGGAGAAGAGGGGAACUGUGAUGCUGGUUGCCAUUACUCCCAUAUUCACUUCACAAACCAGCUCUUGGAUACUGGCUUCAAAAAUUAUAAAAAUGUUCUUUGGAAAAAAACUCAAACUACCUAAAAGUGAUUAGAGUAAAAACAAAACCUGGGGAGAGUUACUCUCUCUGCAGCAGUGCUGUCCAUUAGAACUCUCUGCGAUGAGGGAAACGUUUUUAUCUGUGCUAUUUUCAAUACAGGAGCCACCAGCCACGUGUGAUACUGGAAGAAGUGAGUUUUAAAUUGUAUUCAAUUUUAAUUAAUUUAAAUUUAAAUAACCACAUGUAACUGUGGUAUCAUAUUGGACAGGGCAGCUCUAGAGAAUAAUCACCCUUCCCUGUGGAUGAGGACUCUCCUUGUCCUUGCUCUGGGGCUUCCUUUCACUCAGACCUCGGUUGUGGGUUCAGGGGGGAGAUUUAAAUAACUCAAGUUCAACUUAAAAAGUUAAUGAGGACUUCCCUGGUGGUGCAGUGGUUGGGAACCCACCUUCCAAUGUAGGGGACGUGGGUUCGAUCUCUGGUCAGGGAACUAGAUCCCACAUGCAUGCCACAGCUAAGAGUUUGCACGCCACAACUAAGUAACCCACCUGCCGCAACUAAGACCUGGCACAACUAAAAAUAAAAAACAAACAAAAAGUUAAUGAACACCUGUUAUGUGCAAAGUACUGUCUGAGGUCCUAUUUGCAGGGGAGGGGGGAUCCAAAGGUGGAUAGGACUUGUAACUACCCAUAAAAAGCUCACAAUUUGGUAGGGACAUUAAGUCACAUACACAGAGAUGGAGUGUAACAUGCAGCAAUGCGGACAAAUUGAACCAAGUUAAGGAAUAAAAAAAACAGAGUGAUUCAUUAUGCUGGGAUUAAAAGGGAAGGUUUCACACAUGCAGGAGCUUUUGAUCUGUUCUUGAAUUCUGUGAGCCCAGCUUCCUGGAAGAAGAUGAACAGUGAAUCCUGGCUGUGAGACAGGGAAUGGAGGUCAUAUAGUACAGAGGGGGGCAGUGCACUUUUGGUUCAAAUCCUGGAUUUGCUAUCUAAUACUACCUUUGUGAUCCUGGGAAAACUCCUUUACCUCUCUGAGUUGCAGCUUCCUUAUCUGUAAAAUGUGGUUAAUAACUACUCCUGUGUCAGAGGAUUAAAUGAGCAGCUUGCACAGUGUAUCCAGCUCAUAGUAAGCAAUGAAAAAACUGUGAGAUAACUAAUAAGGACCUACUGUAUAGCACAGGGGACUCUACUCAGUACUCUAUAAUGGUCUAUAUGAGAGAAGAAUCUAAAAAAGGGUGGACAGAUGUGUAUGUAUAACUGAUUCACUUUGCUGCAUGCCUGAAACUAAUACAACAUUGUAAAUCAACUAUACUCCAAUAAAAAUAAAGUAAAAAUAAAUAAAUUUAAGGCAAAAAAAAAAA